rnacentral:rRNA from 1 species
AGUCAUAUGCUUGUCUCAAAGAUUAGCCAUGCAUGUCUCAGUAUAAGUUUUUACACGGCGAAACUGCGAAUGGCUCAUUAAAACAGUUAUAAUUCAUUUGAUGGUCGAAUUUACAUGGAUACCUGAGGUAAUUCUUGAGCUAAUACAUGCAUCCAAACCCGACUUCGCAGAAGGGUUGUGUUUAUUAGAUACAGAACCAACUCAGGCUUGCCUGAUGUUGAGAUGACUUAUGAUAACUUGAUGAAUCGUAUAGCUCAUGCUGACGAUGGAUCAUUCAAGUUUCUGACCUAUCAGCUUUCGACGGUAGGGUAUUGGCCUACCGUUGCAAUGACGGGUAACGGAGAAUUAGGGUUUGAUUCCGGAGAGGGAGCCUGAGAAAUGGCUACCACAUCUAAGGAAGGCAGCAGGCGCGCAAAUUACCCAAUUCAGACACUGAGAGGUAGUGACAAGAAAUAACAAUGCAGGGCAUCCAUGUCUUGCAAUUGGAAUGAAAGA